rnacentral:rRNA from 1 species
AGUGAACGCUGGCGGUAGGCCUAACACAUGCAAGUCGAACGGCAGCACAGUAAGAGCUUGCUCUUACGGGUGGCGAGUGGCGGACGGGUGAGGAAUACAUCGGAAUCUACUUUUUCGUGGGGGAUAACGUAGGGAAACUUACGCUAAUACCGCAUACGACCUACGGGUGAAAGCAGGGGAUCUUCGGACCUUGCGCGAUUGAAUGAGCCGAUGUCGGAUUAGCUAGUUGGCGGGGUAAAGGCCCACCAAGGCGACGAUCCGUAGCUGGUCUGAGAGGAUGAUCAGCCACACUGGAACUGAGACACGGUCCAGACUCCUACGGGAGGCAGCAAGGAGGAAUAUUGGACAAUGGGCGCAAGCCUGAUCCAGCCAUACCGCGUGGGUGAAGAAGGCCUUCGGGUUGUAAAGCCCUUUUGUUGGGAAAGAAAAGCAGCAGGUUAAUACCCCGCUGUUCUGACGGUACCCAAAGAAUAAGCACCGGCUAACUUCGUG